UUUAAAUGGCCGCGGUAUUUUGACUGUGCUAAGGUAGCAUAAUAAUUAGUUUUUUAAUUAAAAGCUGGUAUGAAGGGUUGAAUGAAAAAUUAACUGUCUCUAAUUAAUUUUUUUAGAAUUUUAUUUUUAAGUUAAAAAGCUUAAAUAGAUUUAAAAGACGAGAAGACCCCAUAGAGUUUAAUAUAUUAAAUUUUUAAAUAUUUAGUAAUAAUUUUUUAUGAUAAUAAUAUAUUUAAUUGGGGUGAUUUAAAAAUUUAAAAAACUUUUUAUUUAUAUAAAUAUUGAUUGAUAAUUUAAUGAUCCAAUAAUUUUGAUUAAAAGAUAAAUUACCUUGGGGAUAACAGCGUUAUUUUAUUAAAGAGUUCUAAUCGAAAAUAAAGUUUGCGACCUCGAUGUUGGAUUAAAAUUUAUAUUUGGUGUAGAAGCUAAAUAAUUAAGUCUGUUCGACUUUUAAAAUUUUAC
rnacentral:rRNA from 1 species